rnacentral:lncRNA from 1 species
UUCGAUAUAGGUGCCCUCCACUUCCCCCGUACUCUUCCUCCGCAGCACCCCCCCCCCUCCCCGGUCUUGGUUGGCCUGGCACUAUCUCUGACCUCCCGCAUCCAUGUUCCUCACUCUAAUUGGUCUUCGUCUAUUCAUCCUGAAUUUGGCCGUGACAUCAUAAUUAUCAGCUUUGUUCCUCAUAUAUUUAGUUUGCAAUCCGCUUCCUUUCUCCCAUUAUCUAGCCCGCGACCUCCACUUCCUUCGGCAACCAUAUUUCUUCUUACCUAGAGUUAGUUUGUGUUCACGUACUGUCCUUCAUCCCUGUUCUAUGAUUAGUUUAUUACUCAGUCAUCUUACUUGCAAUCGUUUCUACAUCUGCUCGCUGGUUGCCUGGUUCAGAUUUCCUGUUUGGAGCUAGGCCAUUGGAGAUACUAUGAGAGAAGGAAGAGGAUCUUGUGUAGGGAACUGCGGCGUCCGGCGGCAGAUGGCUGAUCUCUCGCGACCAGUCUCUCCACGGACUGGCUUCUCCCUUCACAAUGAUGCAUCAAGCUUCCGUGGCUAUGGACGACCAGAGUGCAUGGAGGUAGCCGGGGUCAGGUCGUGGAUUCUGUGCAGGCGCAUCACUCAGUAGCGGUGAGACGCUGAUGGCUCGCGACGGGGAGGAAAUUUUCACAUCAGUCAAAGUCACCUGGGAUACCACCAAUUGAACCGGCCAUGGGCCUCCGUAUGUGGUCAUCUUGCAACAAUAGAAUGUGACAGCUGUAUGAAAAUAUUGUGAUUUUUAGGAUCACACAUAUUCAUCUUUGAGAUAAUUUCUUGUGUUCCUCAGCCUGUGAGUAGCUAAUUGUUUGUCUUCUCUCGUGAUGUAAAUGAUUUCUUAGAGAUUUUGUUGCUCAAUAAAUUUGUACAACAUCGCAGGUAAAUAGCUGAACAUUUAACUUGUCUUGAAGAAAUGAUACACAGUAUUCUCCAUCUGCGUGGCUGCGCCACAACAUUAACAAUCAGGAGCCUCAAGCUUUAUGAGUCAGUCUCCACAUUCUCUAGACAUGGUGUGCCUGUAGAUAGACCAUUUUUUAACCCGUACAAGUUAGGGUACAUAAGAUUUUCUUUUUCCAGUUUUGUGUCUAUGUGAUGUGCCAAUGUUGGCAUUCAUUGUCAUGCUUGAAACUCCAUUGCAAAUUAAAAUCAUAAUUUUAGUCAAAG